rnacentral:rRNA from 1 species
UUACAAUGAAGAGUUUGAUCCUGGCUCAGGAUGAACGCUAGCUACAGGCUUAACACAUGCAAGUCGAGGGGCAGCAUUUCAGUUUGCUUGCAAACUGGAGA